rnacentral:lncRNA from 1 species
AAUGGUAUUUUCCUUUUAUAUAAAUGUUCAAAAAAUCCAUCAUAGUCCUACUUUAUUUCGUGUGAUCAUAUGUGGUGCAGUUAAAUGGUCUUAGACGAAAUGAAACUAAUCUUUCAGUCGCUACCUCCCUUUGUUGCUGGUUUCAGUUGUCCAAUUUGUAUGCUAUUUGGUAUUUUGCCAGUUUAUGUUUUGGUCAAGCUGGAUAUUUCUUUCCUC